rnacentral:rRNA from 1 species
UACGUAGGGUGCGAGCGUUGUCCGGAAUUAUUGGGCGUAAAGAGCUCGUAGGCGGUUUGUCGCGUCGACUGUGAAAACCCGAGGCUUAACCUCGGGCCUGCAGUCGAUACGGGCAGACUAGAGUUCGGUAGGGGAGACUGGAAUUCCUGGUGUAGCGGUGAAAUGCGCAGAUAUCAGGAGGAACACCGGUGGCGAAGGCAGCUCGCUGGAACGGUACUGACGCUGAGGCGCGAAAGCGUGGGGAGCGAACAGG